UACAGAGGGUGCAAGCGUUGUUCGGAAUUAUUGGGCGUAAAGCGCGUGUAGGCGGCUUUGCAAGUCGGGUGUGAAAGCCCUCAGCUCAACUGAGGAAGUGCGCCCGAAACUGCAGAGCUUGAGUACCGGAGAGGAUGGCGGAAUUCCCCAAGUAGAGGUGAAAUUCGUAGAUAUGGGGAGGAACACCGGUGGCGAAGGCGGCCAUCUGGACGGUCACUGGCGCUGAGACGCGAAAGCGUGGGUAGCAAACAGG
rnacentral:rRNA from 1 species